CCAAUAGCGUAUAUUAAAGUUGUUGCAGUUAAAAAGCUCGUAGUUGAAUUUCGGGAUUAGUACGCUGGUCGUGCCUUCGGUAUGUACUGGUGUUACUGGUUCCUACCUUCUGACGAACCGUCAUGUCAUUAAUUUGGUGUGGUGGGAAAUCAGGACUGUUACUUUGAAAAGAUUAGAGUGUUUAAAGCAGGCUCGCGCUUGAAUACAUUAGCAUGGAAUAAUGAAAUAGGACGUUCUAUCCUAUUUUGUUGGUUUCUAGGAUUGACGUAAUGAUUAAUAGGGAUAGUUGGGGGCAUUAGUAUUCAAUUGUCAGAGGUGAAAUUCUUGGAUUUAUUGAAGACUAACUACUGCGAAAGCAUUUGCCAAGGAUGUUUUCAUUAAUCAAGAACGAAAGUUAGGGGAUCGAAGACGAUCAGAUACCGUCGUAGUCUUAACCAUAAACUAUGCCGACUAGGGAUCGGAUGAUGUUAUUUUUAAUGACUCAUUCGGCGCCUUACG
rnacentral:misc_RNA from 1 species